rnacentral:rRNA from 1 species
UACGUAGGCAGCGAGCGUUGUUCGGAGUUACUGGGCGUAAAGGGUGUGUAGGCGGUUGUUUAAGUUUGGUGUGAAACCUCCAGGCUCAACCUGGAGACGCCACUCGAUACUGCCAUGGCUAGAGUCCGGUAGGGGACCACGGAAUUCCUGGUGUAGCGGUGAAAUGCGCAGAUAUCAGGAGGAACACCGGUGGCGAAGGCGGUGGUCUGGGCCGGCACUGACGCUGAGGAGCGAGAGCGUGGGUAGCAAACAGG